GAGACACGCUGUGAAUUGAAACAUCUCAGUAGCAGCAGGAAGAGAAAAUAAAGAAUGAUUCCCUUAGUAGUGGCGAGCGAACGGGGAAAAGCCCAAACCAACAUUCGUUGUUGGGGUUGUAGGACUACUAAUUAAGAAGUUAGACAAAUAUUUACAUAUAGCAGAAUGAGUUGGAAUGCUCAAACAUAGAGGGUGAAAUUCCCGUAAGUGAAAUGUGUAAAUCUUCUAGUGGUAUCCUGAGUAGGGCGGGGCACGUGAAACCCUGUCUGAAUCUGCCGGGACCACCCGGUAAGGCUAAAUACUAAUCAGACACCGAUAGUGAACUAGUACCGUGAGGGAAAGGUGAAAAGAACCCAGAGAUGG
rnacentral:rRNA from 2 species